rnacentral:rRNA from 1 species
GAAGAAAUCAGCGUGUGUUCCUCAUCCGAAAGGAUUGGGUAACCCGUUGAACCUUCUUCGUGAUGGGGAUUGGGGAUUGCAAUUAUUCCCCAUGAACGAGGAAUUCCCAKUAGGCGCGAGUCAUCAGCUUGCGUCGAUUACGUCCCUGCCCUUUGUACACACCGCA